rnacentral:lncRNA from 1 species
CUUCUUUCUCUUGCUGCCUCGUAAAGAAAGUUCCUGCUGCUUCUUCUGCUAUGAUUGUAAAUUUCCUGAGGCCUCUCCAGCCACGCAGAACUGGAAAACAUGGAAGCAGGGAGAUGGAACAUCCCUCUGGCUCAGUCCCUGAGUGAGGACAAGAUAGAGCAAAGCCUCCUAGCUGACUCAUAAUGGGCAAGUACUAAUACUGGUUCUGAAGCGUAAGACGAUUACAGAAUUCUCCUCUGGAGUAACUGAUUAGUCCCCUCAAAAAUAUUUCACCCAAUAUCAUUCAGGUUUCUCCAAUAAAAUGGCUCCCUGAUCAACCAACAAUCAGACCUACUAUCAACAAAUAUGGAUCUUCCAAUCAGCUUUUCAGUGACUUGCUGUAACCUAUGGAUAGACACCAAAUCACAGCAGAUAUUUGAGUGAGGAAGAAAGAUACAAAAUAACCAAUUAAAAAGAAACAAAUUGAAAAAAAUGGUCAUUGGAUAAAUAAAAGAUAACUUCUAAAAUAAGAUAAUGGUUAAUAAUCUAUUGUGUAUUUCAAAAUUGCUAGAAGAGAGAAUUUUAUCCAAAUGAUAUCUUUAAUUUUAUAUACUUUAGUGAUGAGUAUUUUCAUCAGAAAUGGCAAGUAUUUGAGUUGAUAGAUACAUUCAUUUCCCUGAUUUGAUCAUUAUGCAAUGUAUAUAUGUGUUGAAACUUAAGUGUACUGCAUAAACAGGUACAAUUAUUAAGCAUCAUUUAAAAACAAAAUGAAUCUAUAAAUUACUUUGGGCAGUAUGGCUAUUUCACGAUAUUGAUUCCUCCUAUCCAUGAGGAUGGAAUGUUUCUCCAUUUGUUUGUGUCCUCUCUUAUCUCCUUGAGCAGUGGUUUGUAGUUCUCCUUGAAGAGGUCCUUCACGUCCCUUGUAAGUUGUAUUCCUAGGUAUUUUAUUCUCUUUGCAGCAAUUGUGAAUGGGAGUUCACUCAUGAUUUGGCUCUCUGUUUGUCUAUUAUUGGUGUAUAGGAAUGCUGGUGAUAUUUGCACAUUGAUUUUGUAUCCUGAGACUUUGCUGAAGUUGCUUAUCACCUCAAGGAGUUUUGGGGCUGAGAUGAUGGGAUUUUAUAAUAUAUACAAUCAUGUCAUCUGCAAACAGAGACAAUUUGACCUUCUCUCUUCCUAUUUGAAUACCGUUUAUUUCUUUCUCUUGCCUGACUGCCCUGGCCAGAACUUCCAAUAUAUGUUGAAUAGGAGUGGCGAGAGAGGGCGUCCUUGUCUAGUGCCAGCUUUCAAAAGGAAUGCUUCCAGCUUUUGCGCUUUCAGUAUGAUAUUGGCUAUACGUUUGUUAUAGAUAGCUCUUAUUAUUUUGAGAUAUGUUCCGUCAAUACCUAGUUUAUUAGAGAGUUUUUAGUGAGAAGGGAUGUUGAAUUUGAUCAAAGGCAUUUUCUGCAUCUAUUGAGAUAAUUAUGUGGUUUUUGUCAUUGGUUCUGUUCAUUUGAUGGAUUACGUUUAUUGAUCUGCAUACGUUGAAUCAGCCUUGCAUCCCGGGGAUGAAGCCCACUUGGUUGUGGUGGAUAAGCUUUUUGAUGUGCUGCUGGAUUCAUUUUGCCAGUAUUAUAUUGAGGAUUUUUACAUCUAUGUUCAUCAGAAAUAUUGGCGUGAAAUUUUCUUUUCUUGUUGUAUCUCUGCCAGAUUUUGGUUUCAGGAUGAUGCUGGCCUCAUAAAAUGAUUUAGGGAGGAUUCCUUCUUUUUCUAUUGUUUGGAAUAGUUUCAGAAGGAAUAGUACCAGCUCCUCUUUGUACCUGUGGUAGAAUUUGGCUGUGAAUCUGUCUGGUCCUGGGCUUUUUUUGGUUCAUAGGCUAUUAACUACUGCCUCAAUUUCAGAACUUAUUAUUGGUCUAUUCAGGGAUUCGACUUCUUCCUGGUUUAGUCUUGGGAGGGUGUAUGUGUCUAGGAAUUUAUCCAUUUCUUCUAGAUUUUCUAGUUUAUUUGCGUAGAGGUGUUUAUAGUAUUCUCUGAUGGUAGUUUGUAUUUCUGUGGGAUCAGUGGUGAUAUCCGCUUUAUCAUUUUUAUUGUGUCUAUUUGAUUCCUCUCUCUUUUCUUCUUUAUUAGUCUGGCUAGUGGUCUAUUUUGUUAAUCUUUUCAAAAAACCACCUCCUGGAUUCACUGAUUUUUUGAAGGGUUUUUCAUGUCUCUAUCUCCUUCAAUUCUGCUCUGAUCUUAGUUAUUUCUUGUCUUCUGCUAGCCUUUGAAUUUGUUUGCUGUUGCUUCUCUAGUUCUUUUAAUUGUGAUGUUAGGGUGUUGAUUUCAGAUCUUUCCCAUUGCCUGCUGUGGGCAUUUAGUGCUAUAAAUUUCCCUCUAAACACUGCUUUAAUUGUGUCCAAGAGACUCUGGUAUAUUGUGUCUUCAUUCUCAUUGGUUUCAAAGAACUUCUUUAUUUCUGCCCUCAUUUCGUUAUUCACCCAAUAGUCAUUCAGGAGCAGGUUGUUCAGUUUCCAUGUAGUUGUGCGGUUUUCAGUGAGUUUCUUAAUCCUGACUUCUAAUUUGAUUGCACUGUGGUCUGAGAGACUGUUUGUUAUCAUUUCCAUUCUUUUGCAUUUGCUGAGGAGUGUUUUUUACUUGAAAUUAUGUGGUUGAUUUUAGAAUAAAUGUGAUGUGGUGCUGAGAAGAACAUAUAUUCUGUUGAUUUGGGGUGAAGAGUUCUGUAGAUGUCUGUUAGGUCCACUUGGUCCAGAACUGAGUUCAAGCCUGAAUAUCUUGUCAAUUUUCUGUCUCUUUGAUCUGUCUAAUACUGACAGUGGGGUAUUAAAGUCUCCCACUAUUAUUGUGUGAGAGUCUACAUCUCUUUGUAGGUCUCUAAGAACUUGUUUUAUGAAUGUAGGUGCUCCUGUAUUUGGGUGCAUAUAUAUUUAGGAUAGUUAGCUCUUCUUGUUACAUUGAUCUCUUUACCAUUAUGUCAUGCCCUUGUCUUUUUUCAUCUUUGUUGGUUUAAAGACUGUUUUAUCAGAGAUGAGGAUUGAAUGCAACCCAUUUUUUUUUCUUUCCAUUUGCUUUGUAAAUAUUCCUCCAUCCUUUAAUUUUGAGUCUGUGUGUUCCUUUGCACAUGAGAUGGGUCUCCUGAAUACAGCACACUGAUGGGUCUUGACCCUUUUUCCAAUUUGCCAAUCUGUGUCUUUUAAUUGGGGCAUUUAGCCCAUUUACAUUUAAGGUUAAUAUUGUUAUGUAUGAAUUUGAUCCUGUCAUCAUGAUACUAGCUGAUUAUUUUGCACAUUAGUUGAUGCAGUUUCUUCAUAGUGUCAUUGGUCUUUAUACUUUGGUGGUUUUUUUCAGUGGCUGGUACUGGUUUUUCCUUUCCAUAUUUAGUGCUUCCUUCAGGAGCUCUUGUAAGGCAGGCCUGGUGGUGACAAAAUCCCUCACCAUUUGCUUGUCUGUAAAGGAUUUUAUUUCUCCUUCGUUUUUGAAGCUUAGUUUGGCUGGAUAUGAAAUUCUGGGUUGAAAAUUCUUUUCUUUAAGAAUGUUGAAUAUUGGCCCCAACUCUCUUCCGGUUGUAGGGUUUCUGCAGAGAGAUCCACUGUUAGUCUGAUGGGCUUCCCUUUGUAGGUAACCUGACCUUUCUUUCUGGCUGCCCUUAACAUUUUUUCCUUCAUUGCAACCUUGGCGAAUCUGACAUUUAUGUGUCUUGGGGUUGCUCCUCUCGAGGAGUAUCUUAGUGGUGUUCUCUGUAUUUCCCAAAUUUGAAUGUUGGCCUGUCUUGCUAGGUUGGGGAAGUUUUCCUGGAUAAUAUACCAAAGUUUCAACUUGAUUCCAUUCUCCCCAUCACUUUCAGGGACCCCAGUCAAUCAUACGUUUGGUUUUUUCACAUAGCCCCAUAUUUCUUGGAGGCUUUGUUCAUUCCUUUUUAUUCUUUUUUUCUCUAAUCUUAUCUUCACGCCUUAUUUCAGUAAUUUGAUCUUCAAUCUCCCAUAUCCUUUCUUCUGCUUGAUUGAUUCGGCUAUUGAUACUUGUGUAUGCUUCAUGAAGUUCUCAUGCUGUGCUUUUCAGCUCCAUCAGGUCAUUUAUGUUCUCUAAACUGGUUAUUCUAAUUAGUAGUUCUUAUAACCUUUUAUCAAGGUUCUUAGCUUCCUUACAUUGGAUUAGAACGUGCGUCUUUAGCUCAGAGGAGUUUAUUACCCACCUUCUGAAGCCUACUUCUGUCAAUUCAUCAAACUCAUUCUCCAUCCAGUUUUGUGUCCUUGCUGGAGAGGAGUUGCGAUCACUUGGAGAACAGGGAUUCUGGUUUUUGGAAUUUUCAGCAUUUUUGCGCUGGUUUUUCCUCUUUGUGGAUUUAUCUACCUUUGAUCUUUGAGGCUGAUGACCUUUGGAUGGGGUUUUUGUGUGUGGGGGUAUCCUUUUUGUUGCUGUUGAUGUUACUGCUUUCUGUUUGUUAGUUUUUCUUCUAACAUUCAGGCCCCUCUUCUGCAGGUCUGCUGCAGUUUGCUGGAGGUCCAUUCCAUACCGUUUGCCUGGGUAUCACCAGCGGAGGCUGCAGAACAGCAAAGAUUGCUGCCUGCUCCUUCCUCUGGAAGCUUUGUCCCAGAAUAGCACUGGCCUGAUGCCAGCUGAAGCUCUCCUGUAUGAGGUGUCUGUCGACCCCUGCUGGGAUGUCUCUCCCAGUCAGGAGGCACAGGGGUCAGGUACCAACUUGAGGAUGCAGUCUGUCCCUUAGCAGAGCUCGAGCCCUGUGCUGGGAGAAUCCUCCUUGUCAGUAUCCACUGCUCUCUUCAGAGCCAGCAGGCAGGAAUGUUUAAGACCAUGGAAGCUGUUCCCACAUCCAACCCUUCCCCCAGGUGCUGUGUCCCAGGGAGAUGGGAGUUUUAUCUAUCAGCCCCUGACUGAGGCUGCUGCCUUUCUUUCAGAGAUCUCUGCCCAGUGAGGAGGCAUCUAGAGAGGCAGUCUGGCCACAGCCGCUUUGCCACACUGUGGUGAGUUCUGCCCAGUACAAACUUCCAGACCUCCUUAGCACUGUCAUGGGAAAAUGACCUACUCAAGCCUCAGUAAUGAUGGGUGCCCCUCCCCACACCAAGCUCAAUCAUCCCAGGUCGACUUCAGACUGCUAUGCUGGCAGUGAGAAUAUUUCAAGCCAGUGGUUCCCAACUUUCUGGGCUCCAUGGGAGUGGGGCCUGCUGAGCAAGAUCACUUGGCUCCCUGGCUUCAGGCCCUUUCCAGGGGAGUGAAUGGUUCUGUCUCACUGGGUUUCCAGGCUGUUCUAUCAAGCUACCAUUGAAUUUCUUCACAGAAUUAGGAAAAACUACUUUAAAUUUCAUAUGGAACCAGAAAAGAGCCCCUAUAGCCAAGACAAUCCUAAGCAAAAAGAAUAAAGCUGGAGGCAUCACACUACGUGACUUCAAACAAUACUACAAGUCUACAGUAACCAAAACAGCAUGGUACUUGUAAGACAGAUAUAUAGACCAAUGGAACAGAACAGAGGCCUCAGAAAUAACACCACACAUCUACAAUCAUCUGAUCUUUAACAAACCUGACAAAAACAAGCAAUGGGGAAAGGAUUCCCUAAUUUUGCUGGGAAAAUGGGCUAGCCAUAUGCAGAAAACAGAAACUGGACCCCUUCCUUACACCAUAUAGAAAAAUUAACACAAGAUGGAUUAAAGACUUAAGUGUAAAACCUAAAACCAUAAAAACCAUAGAAGAAAACCUAGGGAAUACCAUUCAGAACAUAGACAUGGGCAAAGAUUUCAUGACUAAAACACCAAAAGCAAUUGCAACAGCCAAAAUUGAUAAAUGGGAUCUAAUUGAAUUAAAGAUCUUCUGCACAGCAAAAGAAACUAUCAUCAGAGUGAACAGUAACCUACAGAAUGGGAGAAAAUUUUUGCAAUCUAUCCAUCUGACAAAGGUCUAAUAUACAGAAUCUACAAGAAACUUAAACAAAUUUACAUGAAAAAAAGAACCCCACCAAAAAGUGGGUAAAGGAUACGAACAGACACUUCUCAAAAGAAGACAUUUAUGUGGCCAACAAACAUGAAAAAAAGUUCAUCAUUACUGGUCAUUAGAGAAAUGCAAAUCAAAACCACAAUGAUAUACCAUCUAACACCGGUUAGAAUGGCGAUCAUCAAAGAAAAUAUUCAGGCUGGGUGCCAUGGCUCAUGCCUGUGAUCCCAGCAUUUUGGGAGGCCGAGGUGGGCAGAUCAUGAGGUCAGGAGAUUGAGACCAUCCUGGCCAAGGUGGUGAAGCCCCGUCUCUACUAGAAAUGCAGAAAUUGGCUUGGCAUGGUGGGUGGCAUAUGCCUGUGGUCCUGGCUGCUUGAGAGACUGGGGCAGGAGAGUCACUUGAACCUGGAAGGGGGAUGUUGUGGUGAGCCGAGAUCGCGCCACUGCACUCUAGCCUGGCGACGGACUGAGACUCCAUCUCAAAAAAAAAAAAAAUAAUAAUAAUAAUUCAACCAGGAAGGUAGAUGUAAUAAGUAGGAGGGCCUUUCUUCUCUAGGGAGCACCACUCAUUCUCUUCCUGAGAAUGUUAGUUUUAUAUGGAUUUUCUUUAAGCAUCACUUGGAAACACUACAAAUAAUGCAGCUAAGUGUUUAAGCAAUUAGGGAAUAGGAAUUUUUUUUUACCCUUUCUCUUUUACUUGUUCCUUUAUAUAUAAAAUAUAUAUAUAUAUUUAUGAUACUUUAAGUUCUAGGGUACAUGUGCACAACGUGCAGGUUUGUUACAUAUGUAUACAUGUGCCAUGUUGUUGUGCUGCAUCCAUUAACUCGUCAUUUACAUUAGGUAUAUCUCCUAAUGCUAUCCCUCCCCACUCCCCCCACCCCACAACAAGCCCCGGUAUGUGAUGUUCCCUUUCCUGUGUCCAUGUGUUCCCAUUGUUCAAUUCCCACCUAUGAGUGAGAACAUGCGGUGUUUGGUUUUUUGUCCUUGUGAUAGUUUGCUGAGAAUGAUGGUUUCCAGCUUCAUCCAUGUCCCUACAAAAGACAUGAACUUAUCGCUUUUUACGGCUGCAUAGUAUUCCAUGGUGUAUAUGUGCCACAUUUUCUUAAUCCAGUCUAUCAUUGUUGGACAUUUGGGUUGGUUCCAAGUCUUUGCUAUUGUGAGUAGUGCUGCAAGAAACAUACGUGUGCAUGGGUCUUUAUAGCAGCAUGAUUUAUAUUCCUUUGGGUAUAUACCCAGUAAUGGGAUGGCUGGGUCAAAUGGUAUUUCUAGUUCUAGAUCCCUGAGGAAUCACCACACUGUCUUCCACAAUGGUUGAACUAGUUUACAGUCCCACCAACAGUGUAAAAGUGUUCCUAUUUCUCCACAUCCUCUCCAGCACCUGUUGUUUCCUGACUUUUUAAUGAUCGCCAUUCUAACUGGUGUGAGAUGAUAUCUCAUUGUAGUUUUGAUUUGCAUUUCUCUGAUGGCCAGUAAUGAUGAGCAUUUUUUCAUGUGUCUGUUGGCUCCAUAAAUGUCUUCUUUUGAGAAGUGUCUGUUCAUAUCUUUUGCCCUCUUGUUGAUAGGGUUGUUUGUUUUUUUCUUGUAAAUCUGUUUGAGUUCUUUGUAGAUUCUGGAUAUUAGCCCUUUGUCAGAUGAGUAGAUUGCAAAAAUUUCCUCCCAUUUUGUAGGUUGCCUGUUAACUCUGAUGGUAGUUUCUUUUGCUGUGCAGAAACUCUUUAGUUUAAUUAGAUCCCAUUUGUCAAUUUUGGCUUUUGUUGCCAUUGCUUUUGGUGUUUUAGACAUGAAGUCCUUGCCCAUGCCUAUGUCCUGAAUGGUAUUGCAUAGGUUUUCUUCUAGGGUUUUUAUGGUUUUAGAUCUAACAUUUAAGUCUUUAAUCCAUCGUGAAUUAAUUUUUAUAUAAGGUGUAAGGAAGGGAUCCAGUUUCAGCUUUCUACCUAUGGCUAGCCAGUUUUCCCAGCACCAUUUGUUAAAUAGGGAAUCCUUUCCCCAUUUCUUGUUUUUGUCAGAUUUGUCAAAGAUCAGAUGGUUGUAGAUGUGUGAUAUUAUUUCUGAGGGCUCUUUUCUGGUCCAUUGGUCCUAUAUCUCUGUUUUGGUACCAGUACCAUGCUGUUUUGGUUACUGUAGCCUUGUAGAAAUAGGAAUGUUUUAAAUACAGAGUUUUGUACUGCAAAGUAUUUACAAGUAUUAAGAGAUUGUAGUACACAACUUUGUUGUAAAACUCUAGUAAUGUAAAUUGAUACUAA